rnacentral:misc_RNA from 1 species
CGGGGCAGUGGUAGUUGUAGUACUAGUAGAGAAGGUAACCUUGCACAAGUUGAUCUCUCUCUUGGCUUCCCAUAACUCCUCACGUAGGGAUUGAAUUUCCAUAGCAAUAGUGUUUCGGAAUUGCUCUAUAGUCGUGUUCAUUGAAUCAAUGAACACAUUAAGAGCACGUUGUAAUGCCCCCUCAAGCUCCUUCUUUAUAGUCUCUUGCUCGUCUUCCUUAGAGUCAAAAGUCUCUAGAACGUCAAUCAUGGCCAAUUUCAACUUGGCCAGCUUUGCUUCGAAGGCCUCCACCACAUCUGUAGAGAUGGCAAUAGCAUCUCGUGGAGUUUCCUUCGAUUUCCUAUGCCUUUUUG